UGAGUACGAGAUGCUACGGCAUCGAAGCAGUCUAUGUCAUACUUCCAAGAAAAGCUUGCACUGUCAGAAACAGAUAAUGCCUGUACCAUAACCGACACAGGUGGGUAGGUAGAGUAUACUAAGGGGCGCGAGAUAACUCUCUCUAAGGAACUCGGCAAAAUGACUCCGUAACUUCGGGAGAAGGAGUGCCUUAUUUUUAAGGUUGCAAUAACAAGAUCCAAGCAACUGUUUACCAAAAACACAGGUCUCCGCUAAGUCGUAAGACGAUGUAUGGGGGCUGACGCCUGCCCAGUGCCAGAAGGUUAAAGAAGUCGGUUAGCAUUCGCGAAGCUGGUAACUGAAGCCCUGGUGAACGGCGGCCGUAACAAUAACGGUCCUAAGGUAGCGAAAUCCCUUGUCGGGUAAGUUCCGACCCGCACGAAAGGCGUAAUGAUUUGGAUACUGUCUCGGAGAGGGGCUCGGUGAAAUAGACUUGUCUGUGAAGAUGCGGACUACCUGCACCUGGACAGAAUGACCCUAUGAAGCUUUACUGUAACUUGAAAUUGAAAUUGGACUUUAUUUGCGCAGUAUAGGUGGGAGGCGUUGAAAAUAUUCUUGCGGGAAUAUUGGAGCCAUCAGUGAGAUACCACUCUUGUAAUGUUAGAUUUCUAACUUUAUAUCAUUAUCUGGUUAAAGAACAGUUUCAGGCGGGCAGUUUGACUGGGGCGGUCGCCUCCCAAAUGGUAACGGAGGCGCACAAAGGUUUCCUCUGAACGGGUAGAAAUCGUAUCUAGAGUGUAAAGGCAUAAGGAAGCUUGACUGUGAGACCUACAAGUCGAGCAGGGACGAAAGUCGGUCUUAGUGAUCUGACGGUGCUGAGUGGAAAGGCCGUCACUCAACGGAUAAAAGUUACUCUAGGAUAACAGGCUGAUCUCCCCCAAGAGUUCACAUCGACGGGGAGGUUUGGCACCUCGAUGUCGGCUCAUCGCAUCCUGGGGCGGUAGUACGUCCCAAGGGUUGGGCUGUUCGCCCAUGAAAGCGGUACGCGAGCUGGGUUCAGAACGUCGUGAGACAGUUCGGUCCAUAUCCGGUGUAGGCGUUAGAAUAUUGAGAGGAGCCUUCUUUAGUACGAGAGGACCGAGAAGGACAUACCUCUGGUGUACCAGUUAUCGUGCCAACGGUAAACGCUGGGUAGCUAUGUAUGGAGUGGAUAACCGCUGAAAGCAUCUAAGUGGGAAGCCCACCUCAAGAUAAGUAUUCUCAU
rnacentral:rRNA from 1 species